AGCGAACGCUAGCGGCAGGCUUAACACAUGCAAGUCGAGCGCCAGGUUUCGGCCUGGAGCGGCGAACGGGUGAGUAACACGUAGGUCACGUACCCUAUGGUGGGGAAUACCCCGGGGAAACUCGGAUCAAUGCCCCAUAUGUCCGAAAGGAUGAAAGCGCUUCGGCGCGCCAGAGGAUCGGGCCUGCGGCCCAUUAUUUAAUCCUAGUUGGUGAGGUAACGGCUCACCAAGGGUACGAUGGGUAGCUGGUCUGAGAGGACGAUCAGCCACACUGGAACUGAGACACGGUCCAGACUCCUACGGGGGGCAGCAGUGGGGAAUAUUGGACAAUGGGCGAAAGCCUGAUCCAGCCAUGCCGCGUGAGUGAUGAAGGCCUUCGGGUUGUAAAGCUCUGUCGUGGGGGAAGAAGUUCUGACGGUACCCCACAAGAAAGCCCCGGCUAACUCCGUGCCAGCCGCCGCCGUAA
rnacentral:rRNA from 1 species